UAGGGAAUCUUCGGCAAUGGGGGGAACCCUGACCGAGCAACGCCGCGUGAGUGAAGAAGGUUUUCGGAUCGUAAAGCUCUGUUGUUAAGGAAGAACGAGUGUGAGAAUGGAAAGUUCAUGCUGUGACGGUACUUAACCAGAAAGGGACGGCUAACUACGUGCCAGCAGCCGCGGUAAUACGUAGGUCCCGAGCGUUGUCCGGAUUUAUUGGGCGUAAAGCGAGCGCAGGCGGUUAGAAAAGUCUGAAGUGAAAGGCAGUGGCUCAACCAUUGUAGGCUUUGGAAACUGUUUAACUUGAGUGCAGAAGGGGAGAGUGGAAUUCCAUGUGUAGCGGUGAAAUGCGUAGAUAUAUGGAGGAACACCGGUGGCGAAAGCGGCUCUCUGGUCUGUAACUGACGCUGAGGCUUGAAAGCGGGGGGAGCGAACAGG
rnacentral:rRNA from 1 species